CCAAAGAAAUCCAGAGAUCUAGUAUAAUCUUCUGACCCAGUUAGUCUUUCUGAAAUUUUGUCCAUAAGGAGAUGUUCCCAUAUCUUGGAAUACCAUAAUUUAAUUGGUAUUGACUUACUACUCUUCCAGGUGUUGUUUAUCGACAAGGUCGUAUAAUGUAAUGAUUUUAGCUGUUUUCCAUGCUCGGCUGCCGAGAUAGAAAUGAUUUUACCACGGAGAACCGAUUUCAUAGCGUCCCAAACCAAUGGGGCUGGAACUGAACAAGAUGAAUUGAACUCAAAAUAUUCUUUUAAA